rfam:Stegodyphus mimosarum contig74115, whole genome shotgun sequence.
GCCUUCGUGGUGUAAUGGUCAGCACACUGAGUCGGUAUUUUCAGAGGUCCGCGGUUCGAUCCCCGGCGAAGGCA